rnacentral:rRNA from 1 species
CCUACGGGAGGCUGCAGUGGGGAAUAUUGGACAAUGGGGGCAACCCUGAUCCAGCCAUGCCGCGUGUGUGAAGAAGGCCCUCGGGUUGUAAAGCACUUUCAGUGAGGAAGAACGCCUGGUGGUUAAUACCCAUCAGGAAAGACAUCACUCACAGAAGAAGCACCGGCUAACUCCGUGCCAGCAGCCGCGGUAAUACGGAGGGUGCGAGCGUUAAUCGGAAUUACUGGGCAUAAAGCGCGCGUAGGUGGCUUGAUAAGCCGGUUGUGAAAGCCCCGGGCUCAACCUGGGAACGGCAUCCGGAACUGUCAAGCUAGAGUGCAGGAGAGGAAGGUAGAAUUCCCGGUGUAGCGGUGAAAUGCGUAGAGAUCGGGAGGAAUACCAGUGGCGAAGGCGGCCUUCUGGACUGACACUGACACUGAGGUGCGAAAGCGUGGGUAGCAAACAGGAUUAGAUACCCUAGUAGUC